AAACCUCUCCAUUUAACACUCCUGUACUCUGCACUAUCUGGAUCAGCCUUGAGUCAUCAACACCGGGGUAAAUCUGUCGCAUCUCAUCCAUCACGAAUGAUGUUGUGAUCGCAAAAGGAGAAAUGCAGUUGACCCGGAUCCUGUGCUUGCAUAGUUCUGAAGCUGUUGAUCUUACAAUUCCGAUAACAGCGGAUUUUGAGACGCUGUAAGUAUGUUGGGCUAAACCGCCCAUCAUCCCCGUGACACUCCCUGCACAAAUGAUGGAUCCAGAGUUACGCGGGAUCAUCACACGAGCAGCAUGUUUGAUUCCUGCCAUGACUCCACGGACAUUUGUGUUGAUUACCUGCAGAACAUAAGAAAAAUAAGAUCAGAUAAAACCAAAUGCUCCACACAUUUGUUCUUUCACAUGUUCUUAUGGAUCAUUACCUUGUCGAAAACAUUGAGAUCAAGAUCAACGAUACUAGGAGGCGUUUUGCAGGGAAUACCAGCAUUGUUGUACAUAAUGUCGAGCUUUGUAUGGAGCGAGACAGCGAAGUCAACUGCGUUAGCAAUGUCUGAUUCUUUGGUCACAUCGCAUGGGAAGUAAGCACAACUGGGACCGAGUUCUUGCUCGGUUUCUCGCCCAAUCUGCGGUUGGAUAUCGGCAAUGAUAACUUUGGCUCCAUGACUGAUGAAUUUUCCGGCUGUUGCUUUGCCAAUCCCACUUGCUCCUCCAGUGAUGAGUGCUACUUUACCUUCUAGCUUCCUAUAACAUAACAACUAUAGAUUAGGUAUUAGUAUUUGGUAAGACUCUCAUAUUUGACAUUUCUUAGCUGGUGGAAAGAGUAAAAGCUUUCUAACUUCAAGAUAAGAUUUGUGGAAGAAGACAAAUCAGAGAAACCAACUUGUAAUAGCAAAUUACUUUGUAUAUCCCUGUCAUUCACAUAUAAACAGAAU